rnacentral:rRNA from 1 species
AACCGCGGUUAUACGAGGGGCCCAAGCUGACAGUUUCACGGCGUAAAGCGUGGUUAAGACUCAUAAUAAACUAAAGCCGAACACCUUUACAGCUGUUAUACGCUUGCAAAGGAGGGAAGAACUACCACGAAAGUGGCUUUAUACUAUCUGAACCCACGAAAGCUAGAGCA